rnacentral:rRNA from 1 species
UACGAAGGGGGCUAGCGUUGCUCGGAAUCACUGGGCGUAAAGGGUGCGUAGGCGGGUCUUUAAGUCAGGGGUGAAAUCCUGGAGCUCAACUCCAGAACUGCCUUUGAUACUGAAGAUCUUGAGUUCGGGAGAGGUGAGUGGAACUGCGAGUGUAGAGGUUAAAUUCGUAGAUAUUCGCAAGAACACCAGUGGCGAAGGCGGCUCACUGGCCCGAUACUGACGCUGAGGCACGAAAGCGUGGGGAGCAAACAGG